rnacentral:rRNA from 1 species
UACGUAGGUGGCAAGCGUUGUCCGGAAUUAUUGGGCGUAAAGCGCGCGCAGGCGGUUUCUUAAGUCUGAUGUGAAAGCCCACGGCUUAACCGUGGAAGGUCAUUGGAAACUGGGAGACUUGAGUGCAGAAGAGGAAAGCGGAAUUCCACGUGUAGCGGUGAAAUGCGUAGAGAUGUGGAGGAACACCAGUGGCGAAGGCGGCUUUCUGGUCUGUAACUGACGCUGAGGCGCGAAAGCGUGGGGAGCAAACAGG